CGUCAACAUGGGGUUCACUUUGGUUUUGAAAUGUGGUAAUCAUGUCAGAGAGGUGAACCUUUAUGUUGAUGCUCCAAGAGACAUGCCCUGCAUGCUGGGUUAGGAAACCCCAAUUGAUAGUUGCAGGCAUAGAUGUGCACAUGGUCCCCCGAAAGCAAUGGCUGUAAGUGUUUUGGCUGUUCAGUACAUUAUUUGACAUGUAUAAGUGACCUAGGUUUACUUUCUGUGUACAAUGUUAGUUGCAAAUGUACAGAAUUAAGUUCUAGUGUGACAGAGAUGCUAAUUUGUGAUAAAGAUAGGCAAGAUGCUAAUGGUAACACAUAAUUAGCAUGUAAUUUGGUUGACGACUAGUGUUAGCUCUUAUUGGCCAGCUGUUUCGUAGUGUCAUACAGUAACCUUAUUGUUUGUUUCUUAGACAUUGUAAGUAUUUUCUGCCUUUUGUUUUUUUUUUCAGUUUCACUCAUAAGUUUUCACCUGUCAAACAUGAAUAACAAAGUCAAUAAAGGAGCAAGGCGCUCGCUUCCUGGCUCGUGAAAAUUGA